AAGUCGAGCGGAUGACGGGAGCUUGCUCCUUGAUUCAGCGGCGGACGGGUGAGUAAUGCCUAGGAAUCUGCCUGGUAGUGGGGGACAACGUUUCGAAAGGAACGCUAAUACCGCAUACGUCCUACGGGAGAAAGCAGGGGACCUUCAGGCCUUGCGCUAUCAGAUGAGCCUAGGUCGGAUUAGCUAGUUGGUGAGGUAAUGGCUCACCAAGGCGACGAUCCGUAACUGGUCUGAGAGGAUGAUCAGUCACACUGGAACUGAGACACGGUCCAGACUCCUACGGGAGGCAGCAGUGGGGAAUAUUGGACAAUGGGCGAAAGCCUGAUCCAGCCAUGCCGCGUGUGUGAAGAAGGUCUUCGGAUUGUAAAGCACUUUAAGUUGGGAGGAAGGGCAGUAAGCUAAUACCUUGCUGUUUUGACGUUACCGACAGAAUAAGCACCGGCUAACUCUGUGCCAGCAGCCGCGGUAAUACAGAGGGUGCAAGCGUUAAUCGGAAUUACUGGGCGUAAAGCGCGCGUAGGUGGUUCGUUAAGUUGGAUGUGAAAGCCCCGGGCUCAACCUGGGAACUGCAUCCAAAACUGGCGAGCUAGAGUACGGUAGAGGGUGGUGGAAUUUCCUGUGUAGCGGUGAAAUGCGUAUAUAUAGGAAGGAACACCAAUGGCGAAGGCGACCACCUGGACUGAUACUGACACUGAGGUGCGAAAGCGUGGGGAGCAAACACGAUUAGAUACCCUGGUAGUCCACGCCGUAAACGAUGUCAACUAGCCGUUGGAUCCUUGACAUUUUAGUGGCGCAGCUAACGCAUUAAGUUGACCGCCUGGGGAGUACGGCCGCAGGUUAAACUCAAUGAAUGACAGGGCCGCACACCGUGAGCAUGUGUUUAAUUUAACACGCGAAA
rnacentral:rRNA from 1 species